UACGUAGGGUGCAAGCGUUAAUCGGAAUUACUGGGCGUAAAGCGUGCGCAGGCGGUGAUGUAAGACAGAUGUGAAAUCCCCGGGCUCAACCUGGGAACUGCAUUUGUGACUGCAUCGCUGGAGUACGGCAGAGGGGGAUGGAAUUCCGCGUGUAGCAGUGAAAUGCGUAGAUAUGCGGAGGAACACCGAUGGCGAAGGCAAUCCCUGGGCCUGUACUGACGCUCAUGCACGAAAGCGUGGGGAGC
rnacentral:rRNA from 1 species